UACGUAGGGUGCGAGCGUUAAUCGGAAUUACUGGGCGUAAAGCGCGCGUAGGCGGUUUUGCAAGUCGGAUGUGAAAUCCCCGGGCUUAACCUGGGAAUUGCAUUCAAGACUGCGUAGCUAGGGUGCGGAAGAGGGAAGCGGAAUUUCCGGUGUAGCGGUGAAAUGCGUAGAUAUCGUAAGGAAGACCAGUGGCGAAGGCGGGUCUCUGGACAGUUCCUGACGCUGAGGCACGAAGGUCAGGGGAGCAAACGGGG
rnacentral:rRNA from 1 species